rnacentral:rRNA from 1 species
GACGAACGCUGGCGGCGUGCUUAACACAUGCAAGUCGAACGGAAAGGCCCUGCUUUUGUGGGGUGCUCGAGUGGCGAACGGGUGAGUAACACGUGAGUAACCUGCCCUUGACUUUGGGAUAACUUCAGGAAACUGGGGCUAAUACCGGAUAGGAGCUCCUGCUGCAUGGUGGGGGUUGGAAAGUUUCGGCGGUUGGGGAUGGACUCGGGGCUUAUCAGCUUGUUGGUGGGGUAGUGGAUUACCAAGGCUUUGACGGGUAGCCGGCCUGAGAGGGUGACCGGCCACAUUGGGACUGAGAUACGACCCAGACUCCUACGGGAGGCAGCAGUGGGGAAUAGUGCACAAUGGGCGGAAGCCUGAUGCAGCAACGCCGCGUGCGGGAUGACGGCCUUCGGGUUGUAAACCGCUUUCGCCUGUGACGAAGCGUGAGUGACGGUAAUGGGUAAAGAAGCACCGGCUAACUACGUG